CCCACAGCUCCGCCCCUUCCGGCGAGACGGACGGACGCUCCAUCAAAGUGAGAAGGGGCAACAGGAGAGGAACGCACACCACGGCGGGACGCGAGGCUGAAGCCAGAUGGACGUCCGGUUGAAACUCACCUGGGAGACGGGUUUGCGGUUGCCCACGUAAUAUCUUAUGAGAGCGGGCACACUGUCAAAACCCUCUCGCUCCACACGGUACUCAACUCUGGAAUAGGCUUCGUUCAGCAUCACAACCUAGCGGACAAACGCUCUGCCGCGCAAUUCUGUCGUGCUCGUCUUGGCCACUUGGGGGCAGUACAUGACAGACGGCUUCACUGCUCAUUGGCACGUCAGUGUAGCGCCAUUAAUCACACAUUGUCGAGAAGCAAGAUUAAAUGUCUGUUGCCAUAUGAUAAGCUAUGAAUCAAGUCUCAAGUCUUGAAGGUUGGGCUAAAACAGUGAUGGACAC